AGCAGCCGCGGUAAUUCCAGCUCCAAUAGCGUAUAUUAAAGUUGUUGCAGUUAAAAAGCUCGUAGUUGAAUUUCGGGAUUAGUAGGUUGGUCGUGCCUCUGGUAUGUACUCGCCUUACUGGUUCCUCCUUCUUGAAGAACUGUAAUGCCAUUAAUUUGGUGUUGCAGGGAAACAGGACUGUUACUUUGAAAAAUUAGAGUGUUUAAAGCAGGCCAUUGCCUGAAUACAUUAGCAUGGAAUAAUGAAAUAGGACGUUGAUCCUAUUUUGUUGGUUUCUAGGAUUGACGUAAUGAUUAAUAGGGAUAGUUGGGGGCAUUAGUAUUCAAUUGUCAGAGGUGAAAUUCUUGGAUUUAUUGAAGACUAACUACUGCGAAAGCAUUUGCCAAGGAUGUUUUCAUUAAUCAAGAACG
rnacentral:rRNA from 1 species